rnacentral:rRNA from 1 species
GUGGGGAAUCUUCCGCAAUGGACGAAAGUCUGACGGAGCGACGCCGCGUGAGUGAAGAAGGCCUUCGGGUCGUAAAGCUCUGUCAUCAGGGACGAACGGCCGGUGGAGUGGAAAGCCACCGGAUUGACGGUACCUGAGAAGGAAGCCACGGCUAACUACGUGCCAGCAGCCGCGGUAAUACGUAGGUGGCAAGCGUUGUCCGGAAUUAUUGGGCGUAAAGCGCGCGCAGGUGGGAUCUUAAGUCCAUUUUUAAAGUUCGGAGAUCAACUCCGUGAUGGGAUGGAAACUGGGAUUCUUGAGUACCGGAGAGGAAAGCGGAAUUCCCCGUGUAGCGGUGAAAUGCGUAGAUAUGGGGAGGAACACCAGUGGCGAAGGCGGCUUUCUGGACGGUGUCUGACACUGAGGCGCGAAAGCCAGGGGAGCGAACGGGAUUAGAAACCCGGGUAGUCC